CUAAGGAAACCAAUAAAAUCAAUCAUCUUCAGUUUUGAAAGACUUAGGAUAACUAAGUUUUUCUUCGUGACUUCACGAAGGGCCUAUAGCUCAGUUGGUUAGAGCACACGCCUGAUAAGCGUGAAGUCGGUGGUUCAAGUCCAUUUAGGCCCACCAGAGUUAUAGGUGUCGUAAGAACACAAAUUCUUUGAAAAUUAGGUAAAUAAUAGUUAUUUUUCCGGA
rnacentral:misc_RNA from 1 species